rnacentral:rRNA from 1 species
AGUGGCGAACGGGUGAGUAAUACAUAAGCAACCUACCCACGAAGACUGGGAUAAUCUCUGGAAACGGGGACUAAUACCGGAUAGGUAAUCGGAAGGCAUCUUCUGAUUAUUAAAGGUUAAAAACACUGGUGGAUGGGCUUAUGGCGCAUUAGUUAGUUGGUGAGGUAACGGCCCACCAAGACGAUGAUGCGUAGCCGGCCUGAGAGGGUGAACGGCCACAUUGGGACUGAGACACGGCCCAG